UAACGGAACCCAUAAAGCAGCUGUGUCUUUCAAAGGCAGCUGGAUGUGAGCUCCGUUUCC
rnacentral:pre_miRNA from 2 species